GGCUAUCAGUCUAGAUGUGAAACGUCUGUGUCCAGAGGGGGUUUUCCCCUGUUAACUCUAGCCCAGGCAGCGUAGAUAAGGCUUAUGAAGGAGAGCUAUGGAAGGCGAGGAACCAGGAAUUUAACUGGAAGCACGUGAGAAACAGGACUGCACCAUUUUGUGCUCUUUCUACAGGCUUCGUGUGCGCUGCGUCUUGAGAUCACAACAUGAGUAAGAUCUAGCCCUUCAAAUGACUGCAAUGAGGGGGAAACUGAGCUGUGAGAAGAGUGGUAAAGGGGACACAAGGAGGUACCCAUUCGGGAAACUACCCCGGCUCUAUUCCCGCUGUUCUUGAAGGACAGGAACUCUGGAGACUCUGGAACUCUGGAGAUUCUGGAAAACCUGACAGGCUGGAGAAGUAUAAGGUCCCUCAGCUCUCGGAGUUCGGUAGAGUCAUGUAACUACUUCUGGGACAUGGGCUCUGGGCAGGUGACGUGUGGUAUUUUGUAGAUGGAACAGAAAAGCCACUGUGCACCCUGCCGGCUGUGAGCUCUCCUGCUCUAACACCCAAGAUCGCCUCCUCUUGCCACCAUGAAGCAGAGAAGGUGCACUUGAUUGAGCCUUGGUUGCUGAGUCGCUGCAUGGAAGGUGGUGACCCAGGGGAGUUGCACUGAUAUUCCCAUGAGAGAGAAAAGCAUAUUACGUUAACCUGCUGCAAGUUUGGGGUUAAUACAAAAAUGCCCAGGAUUGAAAACGUAAAGAAAUUUGAGAAAGACACAAACUUGCGGAGGGCCAUUCCACAAGAAGCUGUAUGUUUAGGAAAUGGAAAUCUGAGCUGUGUCACAGAAAAGUGACUUCACUGGUGGAGGACACAUCCAGUUUGGAGCAUUCUCAUUGAAGGAGGAAAGAAUGAUAUGGGUCAUCCUACAUGACAAGUAGAAUUUCUACUUUUCAUUAAAGGCUCAUCUUACAAAUCCUCUUCCAAGUGAAACCUCUCCUGAUUCUUCCAUCCUUACUUGAUUUUCCCUCUUCUGAGCAUCCAGAGAAAUUG